UCCACAAAUCAAUGAAACCAUCAGAAAGCACGAAUAUCAAGCUUUUGCAUCAACGUGGAUAGGACUGAAGGAGAUUAUGCUAACUGAAAUAGGUCAAGCGAAGAAAGUUGAAUAUCAUAUGGUUUCACUU